GUCAGGUUCUCUUGUUGAGUAUGAAGAGCAGUCUGGAAAUGGAAGUGACCCCAUGUAGAGGGCUGGAGCAGUUCUAUGAGGACAGCCUGAAAGAGCUGAAGUUGUUCAGCUUGGAGAAGAGAAGGCCCUGGGGAAAACUUUUUUCAGCCUUCCAGUAACUAAAGGUACCUACAAGGAAGCUGGAAAGGGACCUUUUUAGAAGGACAUAGAGUGACAGGACAAAGGGGAAUGUUUAAACUUGAAAGAAGGUUCCUCAGCAGCAUUCUGAUUUUUACAUCCGUCUUGAACAUGUCCAAAAGAUGAGACAUUAAAUAAAUGAGAAAUUAUGAUGAAAGCUGACCUUUCCAAGAGUCCAUGGUCAU